AGAAACUUAGGUUAAACAUAAACCAAGGGCCUUCAAAGCCCUAAACAGGGAAUAUUAACCCCUAGUCUCUG
rnacentral:tRNA from 1 species